rnacentral:rRNA from 1 species
UGGGGAAUUUUGGACAAUGGGCGAAAGCCUGAUCCAGCAAUGCCGCGUGUGUGAAGAAGGCCUUCGGGUUGUAAAGCACUUUUGUCCGGAAAGAAAUCCUUGGCUCUAAUACAGUCGGGGGAUGACGGUACCGGAAGAAUAAGCACCGGCUAACUACGUGCCAGCAGCCGCGGUAAUACGUAGGGUGCAAGCGUUAAUCGGAAUUACUGGGCGUAAAGCGUGCGCAGGCGGUUUGCUAAGACCGAUGUGAAAUCCCCGGGCUCAACCUGGGAACUGCAUUGGUGACUGGCAGGCUAGAGUAUGGCAGAGGGGGGUAGAAUUCCACGUGUAGCAGUGAAAUGCGUAGAGAUGUGGAGGAAUACCGAUGGCGAAGGCAGCCCCCUGGGCCAAUACUGACGCUCAUGCACGAAAGCGUGGGGAGCAAACAGGAUUAGAUACCCUGGUAGUCCGCGCCCUAAACGAUGUCAACUAGUUGUUGGGGAUUCAUUUCCUUAGUAACGUAGCUAACGCGUGAAGUUGACCGCCUGGGGGAGUACGGUCGCAAGAUUAAAACUCAAAUGAAUUGAC